CUUUUGAGGUCUUUCGGGUUGUAACUUGGCUUGGGUUAGGGUAUGGAUUAUUAAAAAAACGGAAAACAAGUGGUUUUUGAUUCAGAGUCGAUGUUACAUACUGUGUUCGUUUCUUUUUAUUUGCUUAGUUUUAUUAUUUUUUUCUUCACCGAAUGCCCUUUUCCGUGCUUCUUUUUGAAUAUUCGAGUUAUAAUUUUUCUCUUUUUAUUUUUUUUCUUUCUUUCGAUUCAUCAUUUUUUUAUUUUU
rnacentral:lncRNA from 1 species